UAAUAAGCCCCUUGCACAUUCCUGCAGUGUUUUCCAGAGAUCUCACAGCAUGAGGCUACUGACUGCGCUCUCACAGCCUUGUGAGCUGACGAGUGGCAUUCAGAAUCCAGACCUUCCGGAUUCCAGCCCUGUCAUCAGCGAAAAGGCCAUCAUUAAGAAGAAAGAAAUUAGUCUGGUCUUAUAAAUAGCAUUUGAAUACAAGUAUUCCUAAAAGAUUUGCAGGCAGUUGACCUUAAACACCAGCAGAGCUGCACAGGCACGGACCGGCUGGCGCAGACCUGGGCCCGGUCCCUCCAACGCCAGCACGUUGGACAUCGCUCUCAUACGGCCACCUCCACCUGGCUUGGGCUCAGCACAUCAACAAGCCAUAAAACUGCUGAAAAAUAUAACGUGUUCUCCCCAAAAAUCACCCUGUGGACAGGAAAAAGGGACAACAAACAAGCUUUAGCCAGCAACUUUCUUCCUGCUGUAUUGAGGCGCCAAGCGACCGACGCCUGACAGAAACCUCACCUCAGCGCACAGCUGCAGACCCCGAACAGAAACGGCUGGUGACACCUGAAAUUUGGAGCACCUAUCUGAGGUAAUAUUUGGUCAGACUUUAGGAUUUGAACUGUUCCUGCUGUGUAUCACACAUUUACUUCUCUUCUUAAUACAACACUACAAAGAAUAAGGGCCUUUUCCGGACUACAGCUUCUAUCACCCGCAGUGGGUCUGAUUCCCAGCCUGUAUUUCUCACAGCAGGAGACUAAGCCCAACCAUGAUUCUGCAACAACAACAACAAAAAAGCCUCUAGGAUCUUACGGAAACAGAGCUUAACCUGAUUUGGAAUUGAGUACUUUUGGGGAAAAACAACCCUAAAAUACCACGUUGAAAAUUGCAGAAGCAGAGUUUAAUUAAAGUCUAAAUAAGACAUUGUGUUGUAAAACAUAAACAAAAUCAUUCCAGUAGUUACUCAUUUUUCCUAAAUUUAGGUAACUACCACCUCCUACCCACCUGGGCCACCAUCAAGCCCUGAACACGUGAGAACGGGAGCUCUUCCUCUAUGGGAAAAAAUUAAAAUAAAAAGCUUGGCAGCUCUUGGGGGGAUCCUGUCACCGAGAAAGCCACACACAAAUUCACACAAGCAAUUAUGAGAAACAACUGCCCAAGCAGAACAACAAGCUGGAACGUUUUUUGUUUCUAUUCCUCACUUUAGGAGAAAAAUGUGGUUACAAGCAGGAAAGGCAUAAAACCCUCCUAUUUGGCUGUCUGCAUCGCAGAUGAACACAGAAUUUCUGAGAAGAUGAAAACACGCCUCUAACACUUCAGCUACAGGCUCCACUCUCCUAAUGCAAAAGCAAAGGAGUCCAAACUCACUGCGUUCUCCACAGGAUGACAAAACUCAUUGCAUUAGCAUGCAUUAAAGCAUCGCCUGAGCGUGGCAAAGCGGAUGAGACCUGACUCUUAACAGAGCCUGUUUCCAUCCCAGCUCACAUUUAGGUCUCAAUUAUCUUAUCUGCUCUGCCACUCGCAUACUUUCCAGAUAAGAAGCGUUUUCCCCCCCCCCCUCUUUUAAAGAAGCUUAGAGUUCAAAUUGAAACCCCAACUAACAUUAAGAUCAAAAACGUUACAAAUUAAAAUUUGAGGCAAUGCUUUUUAAAAACACUCUGCGUACAGGUUAAAACUGGGACCCAGAGUUAGUCGAUGUGCUAUGUGAGCUCUAAUAAAAGCAGUAUGUUCUGCAAGCGAAGAGGGAAUAUUUUCUUGAUUUCAGUUUAUGCACAUGGUUUAGGUCACCGAUCAGUUCAUCUGAAGUUGAGAAACUACUUAAGAGCUGGGAGGGGAAAAAAGCCUGUUUUCCUUUUCCAAUCUAUGACUAAGAAUGAGGCAAGCAAAGGGAGGAUCUAAGAUCCUGAAGGCGAUGGUAACAAGAGGUCAUUAGUUAAUUCCCUCAACUAUAGAUAAUACUUCCUUUUACUAAAUAAGAUCAGUUUUUAAAUUAUGUCAAACGUACCCCCCCUCAUGGUUACAACAUACUGAAACUUCUUCUGACGGAGUCAAAAUAA